UAUAUCUUAUAUAAGUGCAACCCACUAAGAGUCAUUAAUAGCUAUUUCUCUCACUUGUGGUGAAGCCACAUCAUCAUUUUAUUUCAACCAUUGGAUCUGAAUGAAAGCUCAUAUCUUGACCUUCCGCAACCCACUAAGAUUUCUUACCUUUUUACUUGGUUUUAUAUUGCCAUAUGAACAAUUUUUAUGACAGAAUUAGCAACAAAAUGUUAAAAAAAUAAUGUAAGUGCUGACAUCCCUCAUGCAUUUUUGUCACACCCAUUCCUAACAUCCUAUUAUACUACAGUAAUACAGAUCACGAUGGUGGAGAAUCCAUAACCAAUUCAAAAUAUCUACAUUGGUCCAAUGAAACAUAGAAACUUCAAUUAUCCAAGAGAGUCAAUACAAAGUCCAAUCUCUUGCUUCACAAAAUGAUGCGGAUAUUUCCAUUUCCUCCCGGAAUAAAAUUUACGUAUCCUUAUCAUAACUAUUAUGGUUCCUCUUUUUAUCGGUUUAUGCAACUAGAACUUCUUAUAUGUACAUCGACUUCCAUAUUUAAUCAUUUCUUAUAUACAAACAUGCCAUAUAUCUGCAAUACUAAAAUUGGCUGCAACUUCAUAACUCUAUCUUUUCAACACACUCAACUUCAACAUUUUUGCAAUGAAAUCCCGCAGCAACGCGUGGGGUAUUCAACUAGUUAUUU